rnacentral:rRNA from 1 species
UACAGAGGUCCCAAGCGUUGUUCGGAUUCAUUGGGCGUAAAGGGUGCGUAGGCGGCGCGGUAAGUCGGGUGUGAAAUUCCGGGGCUCAACCCCGGAACUGCGUCCGAUACUGCGUGGCUAGAGGUAGGUAGGGGAGAUCGGAAUUCCUGGUGUAGCGGUGAAAUGACGCAGAUAUCAGGAGGAACACCGGUGGCGAAGGCGGAUCUCUGGGCCUUACCUGACGCUCAGGCGCGAAAGCUAGGGGAGCGAACAGG